UACGUAGGGUGCAAGCGUUAAUCGGAAUUACUGGGCGUAAAGCGUGCGCAGGCGGUUCUAUAAGACCGCUGUGAAAUCCCCGGGCUCAACCUGGGAACUGCAUUUGUGACUGUAGAGCUGGAGUGCGGCAGAGGGGGAUGGAAUUCCGCGUGUAGCAGUGAAAUGCGUAGAUAUGCGGAGGAACACCGAUGGCGAAGGCAAUCCCCUGGGCCUGCACUGACGCUCAUGCACGAAAGCGUGGGGAGCAAACAGG
rnacentral:rRNA from 1 species